rnacentral:misc_RNA from 1 species
GAUGAAGAACGCAGUGAAAUGCGAUACUUGGUGUGAAUUGCAGAAUCCCGUGAACCAUCGAGUCUUUGAACGCAAGUUGCGCCCGAAGCCGUCAGGCCGAGGGCACGCCUGCCUGGGCGUCACACGCCGUUGCCCCCCCGCGCCCCGCACCCAACUCUUUGGGAGCGACCGCGGGGCGGGCUGAUGAUGGCCUCCCGUGCGCUCCGCCGCGCGGUUGGCCCAAAUACCGAGUCCCCGGCGACAUGCGCCACGACGAUCGGUGGUUGAGAGACCUCUGUCGCAAGUCGUGCGCGCCCGUCGCGUCACGCGGGCUCGCAUAGCGCCUCGCGCCGCACCCGGUGCGGAGCUUUCAACGCGACCCCAGGUCAGGCGGGGUUACCCGCUGAAUUUAAGCAUAUCAAUAAGCGGAGGA